AGUGAACGCUGGCGGUAGGCCUAACACAUGCAAGUCGAACGGCAGCACAGUAAGAGCUUGCUCUUACGGGUGGCGAGUGGCGGACGGGUGAGGAAUACAUCGCAAUCUACUUUUUCGUGGGGGAUAACGUAGGGAAACUUACGCUAAUACCGCAUACGACCUACGGGUGAAAGCAGAGGAUCUUCGGACCUUGCGCGAUUGUAUUAGCCGAUGUCGGAUUAGCUAGUUGGCAGGGUAAAGGCCCACCAAGGCGACGAUCCGUAGCUGGUCUGAGAGGAUGAUCAGCCACACUGGAACUGAGACACGGUCCAGACUCCUACGGGAGGCAGCAGUAGGGAAUAUUGGGCAAUGGGCGCAAGCCUGAUGCAGCCAUGCCGCGUGAGUGAAGAAGGCCUUCGGGUUGUAAAGCCCUUUUGUUGGGGAAGAAAAGCUGUAGAUUAAAACGCCGCUGUUCUGACGGUACCCAAAGAGAAAGCAACGGCUAACUUCGUG
rnacentral:rRNA from 1 species